ACCUUACCAAGGCUUGACAUAUACAGGAAUANGGCAGAGAUGUCAUAGCCGCAAGGUCUGUAUACAGGUGGUGCAUGGUUGUCGUCAGCUCGUGUCGUGAGAUGUUGGGUUAAGUCCCGCAACGAGCGCAACCCUCGUUNUGUGUUGCCAGCAUUUAGUUGGGGACUCACAGGAGACUGCCGGGGUUAACUCGGAGGAAGGUGGGGAUGACGUCAAAUCAUCAUGCCCCUUAUGUCUUGGGCUGCACGCAUGCUACAAUGGCUGGUACAAACGGCUGCGAUACCGCAAGGUGGAGCGAAUCCGAUAAAGCCAGUCUCAGUUCGGAUUGGGGUCUGCAACUCGACCCCAUGAAGUCGGAGUUGCUAGUAAUCGUAGAUCAGCAACGCUACGGUGAAUACGUUCCCGGGGCUUGUACACACCACCCGUCACAUCACGAAAGUCGGUAACACCCAAAGUCAGUGGCCCAACCGCAAGGAGG
rnacentral:rRNA from 1 species